GACGAACGCUGGCGGCGUGCUUAACACAUGCAAGUCGAACGAAGAGCGAUGGAAGCUUGCUUCUAUCACUCUUAGUGGCGAACGGGUGAGUAACGCGUAAUCAACCUGCCCUUCAGAGGGGGACAACAGUUGGAAACGACUGCUAAUGCCGCAUACGAUCUGACCUCGGCAUCGAGGAUAGAUGAAAGGUGGCCUCUAUUUAUAAGCUAUCACUGAAGGAGGGGAUUGCGUCUGAUUAGCUAGUUGGAGGGGUAACGGCCCACCAAGGCGAUGAUCAGUAGCCGGUCUGAGAGGAUGAACGGCCACAUUGGGACUGAGACACGGCCCAGACUCCUACGGGAGGCAGCAGUGGGGAAUCUUCCGCAAUGGACGAAAGUCUGACGGAGCAACGCCGCGUGAGUGAUGACGGCCUUCGGGUUGUAAAGCUCUGUUAAUCGGGACGAAAGGCCUUCUUGCGAAUAGUUAGAAGGAUUGACGGUACCGGAAUAGAAAGCCACGGCUAACUACGUG
rnacentral:rRNA from 1 species